GGGGCCUGCUGGCUGAUUGUGGCCUGAAGCUGGGAGGUGGUGGCCCUCGCUGUGGGUUGUGUGGCAGGUAGAACAAUAAGAAUCAUACAACUCAAUAUAGUCCGUACGUGCCAGGAACUGUUCUAAGCGCUCUGGCUCUGUCGAUUGAUUUAAAACCCACGAACAGGCUGGAAUCCAGACGCAGGAGGUCAUUUUGUCUAAGAUCACACAGCUUCGCUAAGAAAUAGAGUCCAAACAAGACUGUCCCAGAGUUUUUUUAAUCACGUUACCUUUAAAAUGGUGAAAUGCAUGCUUAGCCAAGGAAAAAGGAUCUGGCCUUCUGUCCUGGCACCUGCUUUAUUGAAUACCUUUCUGCUAGUCAUGCUGGCCCAGAUGAUCUCUGAAUGCUGACAACCACCCAGCUAUGGUUAACCCGCGUUCAUCGACUCAGCGUUUAUGUGCUGGGACACAAAACGUGCCUGCGUGUGCGCGGAUGCACGCGGACUGCAAGAUCCGUGAAGGCGGUGACUGGAUCUCCCUUGGUCACAGUUAGAUCCCCAGCACCUGGACCACAAGUCCGGACAUAAAGGCAACGUGGACACGAGGGGAAGCCGAGAGGUUCGGUGGGCCUCUCCCACCCUUACUGCUGGUCUCGUUGCCUUCCCUCCCUCCAGCCAGAUGAGGCUGACGCGGCCCCCCCCGCUGUCCCAGGGGAGGAAACCGAGGCCCGCAGAACCCGGAGAACGUUGGAUCGAGGCAGGCCAGCUGCAGCUUCCGACCACAAAACCUCAAAGCACUAGGGAAGGAGCAGAUGUCAGGGUGGGCGCGGGGACGGCCCUCUGAGCUCCAGGGCCUGCGGUCUAUCCUGAGAGGUCAGGGCUGCAGGACGCCGUGGGGGUUCCCGGCACCGGAGGGGAAGGAGCCCGCCCCCACGGGGAGAGCAAAUCUCAGCGGCUACGUGUGCUCAGGGCUCGGCUGGAGGACAGGUGGGAGAGACCGAAGCCAGUCUCGCGACUCAGCCGGUCAGGAGGCGGGGGACCAGAUGCUGACCCCCGACCCCUGGCGGCACCCACGGCAAACGGGUCUGUGUCAGAGAUUCUGUGUUUGGGGUAGAGAAGGGCACCUCUGGGGGGGGGGGGGGGAUUAAAUAAACGGGCAGGAGGCAAGGGGGUGCAGCGAGAACAGAGGGGGACUGUCCGGCCGGCAGGCCCAGCCUCGGGGGCCCCGCGGCAGUGCUGAGCCCGCACCGCGGCUUGGGGAGA